AGUGAACGCUGGUGGCGUGCUUAACACAUGCAAGUCGAACGAGACGAUUGAAAGCUUGCUUUUAAAAGUCGAGUGGCAAACGGGUGAGUAACGCGUAGACAACCUGCCUUUGAGAUGGGGACAACAGUUCGAAAGGACUGCUAAUACCGAAUGUUGUAUAUUUUCCACAUGGAAGAUAUAUUAAAGAUGGCCUCUAUUUAUAAGUUAUCGCUCAAAGAUGGGUCUGCGUCUGAUUAGCUGGUUGGUGGGGUAACGGCCUACCAAGGCGACGAUCAGUAGCCGGUCUGAGAGGAUGAACGGCCACAUUGGGACUGAGACACGGCCCAGACUCCUACGGGAGGCAGCAGUGGGGAAUCUUCCACAAUGGACGAAAGUCUGAUGGAGCAACGCCGCGUGAGUGAAGAAGGGUUUCGGCUCGUAAAGCUCUGUUGUCGGGGACGAAUGUGCAGUAUUUGAAUAAAGUACUGCAAUGACGGUACCUGACGAGGAAGCCACGGCUAACUACGUGCCAGCAGCCGCAGUAA
rnacentral:rRNA from 1 species